UACGUAGGUGGCGAGCGUUGUCCGGAAUGAUUGGGCGUAAAGGGAGCGCAGGCGGGAAAGUAAGUCUAUCUUAAAAGUGCGGGGCUCAACCCCGUGAGGGGAUGGAAACUAUUUUUCUUGAGUGCAGGAGAGGAAAGCGGAAUUCCUAGUGUAGCGGUGAAAUGCGUAGAGAUUAGGAAGAAUACCAGUGGCGAAGGCGCCUUUCUGGACUGUAACUGACACUGAGGCUCGAAAGCGUGGGGAGCAAACAGG
rnacentral:rRNA from 1 species